rnacentral:rRNA from 1 species
AGAGUUUGAUCAUGGCUCAGAACUAACGCUGGCGGCGUGCCUAACACAUGCAAGUCGAGCGGUUACCAAUUUGUAGCAAUACAGAUGAAGUGAUAGCGGCAGACGGGUGAGUAACACGUUGGCAAUCUGUCUUUUCGCCCGGGAUAACUAGCCGAAAGGUUAGCUAAUACCAGAUACGAUCAUCGAGCGGCAUCGUUUGA